rnacentral:rRNA from 1 species
UACGGGAGGCAGCAGUGGGGAAUAUUGGACAAUGGGCGAAAGCCUGAUCCAGCCAUGCCGCAUGAGUGAAGAAGGCCUUCGGGUUGUAAAGCUCUUUAGUGAGAAAGAUAAUGACGGUACUCACAGAAGAAGUCCUGGCUAACUCCGUGCCAGCAGCCGCGGUAAUACGGAGAGGGCUAGCGUUAUUCGGAAUUAUUGGGCGUAAAGAGCGCGUAGGCUGUAUUAGUAAGUUAAAAGUGAAAUCCCAAAGCUUAACUUUGGAAUUGCUUUUUAAAACUGCUAGUCUAAGAGAUUGAAAGAGGAUAGAGGAAUUCCUAGUGUAGAGGUGAAAUUACGUAAAUAUUAGGAGGAACACCAGUGGACGAAGGCGUCUAUCUGGUUCAAAUCUGACGCUGAGGCGCGGAAGGGCGUGGGGAGCGAAACAGGGAUUAGAUACC